AAUGGAUUUGCCUUGAUAAUUCCUUCAUUCCACAUGAUAGAGUUAAUUACCUCCCCUCUUUACUAAGAGGGUUAGGUUUUGAAACCUACAAAUGUAAAUAAGAAUUGACUUGGUCUAGUACCAAGUCAGUGUUGGAUGACCCUCUUCUCCAUUUGCUUUGUUUGGUUGCAAGAGGUAUAAUAGAUCCUCAAACUUCAAUUCCUAUUUGUAUAGAAAGUAAAUGUCUAAGGUAUAUUCUU
rnacentral:lncRNA from 1 species